rnacentral:rRNA from 1 species
GUCUUUUUGUAUUUAAUAUAAAGUCUGACCUGCCCACUGAAAAUUUAAAUGGCCGCAGUAUUUUAACUGUGCAAAGGUAGCAUAAUCAUUAGUCUUUUAAUUGAAGGCUGGUAUGAAUGGUUGAAUGAGAUAUUAACUGUUUCAAUAUAAUUUUUAGAAUUUUAUAUUUUAGUGAAAAAGCUAAAAUAAUUUUAAAAGACGAGAAGACCCUAUAAAUCUUUAUAGUUUUAAAUUUAUGGACAUAUAGAUAAUUAAGUUUUUAAGUUAAUAGAUUAUUUUAUUGGGGUGAUAUUAAAAUUUUAUGAACUUUUAAUGUAUAAUUAACACUAAUUAGUGAAAUUUUGAUCCGUGAUUAAUGAUUAAAAAAUUAAGUUACUUUAGGGAUAACAGCGUAAUUUUUUUGGAGAGUUCUUAUUAAUAAAAAAGAUUGCGACCUCGAUGUUGGAUUAAGAUAUAGAUUUAGGUGUAGUGGCUUAAAUUUAAAGUCUGUUCGACUUAUUAUUUCUUACAU